rnacentral:rRNA from 1 species
ACAGAGGGUGCGAGCGUUAAUCGGAUUUACUGGGCGUAAAGCGUGCGUAGGCGGCUUUUUAAGUCGGAUGUGAAAUCCCUGAGCUUAACUUAGGAAUUGCAUUCGAUACUGGGAAGCUAGAGUAUGGGAGAGGAUGGUAGAAUUCCAGGUGUAGCGGUGAAAUGCGUAGAGAUCCGGAGGAACCCCAGUGGCGAAGGCGACCUGCUCGGCCUUGCCUGACGCUCAGACGCGAGAGCGUGGGGAGCAAACAG